GCCUGGCUGGCUCAGUCGGUAGAGUGUGCGACUCUUGAUCUCACGGUCGUGAGUACAAGCCCCACGUUGGGGG
rnacentral:tRNA from 1 species